rnacentral:rRNA from 1 species
AAAGAAAGAGGGAGGAAUGUAUAACACAUGCAAGUCGAACGAGACCUUCGGGUCUAGUGGCGCACGGGUGCGUAACGCGUGGGAACCUGCCCUUAGGUUCGGAAUAACUCCCCGAAAGGGGUGCUAAUACCGGAUAAUGUCUUCGGACCAAAGAUUUAUCGCCUUUGGAUGGGCCCGCGUUGGAUUAGCUAGUUGGUAGGGUAAAAGCCUACCAAGGCGACGAUCCAUAGCUGGUCUGAGAGGAUGAUCAGCCACACUGGGACUGAGACACGGCCCAGACUCCUACGGGAGGCAGCAGUGGGGAAUAUUGGACAAUGGGCGAAAGCCUGAUCCAGCAAUGCCGCGUGAGUGAUGAAGGCCUUAGGGUUGUAAAGCUCUUUUACCCGGGAUGAUAAUGACAGUACCGGGAGAAUAAGCUCCGGCUAACUCCGUG